CUAUAACAGCAAAUCAAAUAUCCUGUUGCAGCCCAGGAUGCAGAAAGUGAGCUAUUUGUUUGCCCAUUUAUUUUACUCUUCCCUGCAAUUACUUCUCAGUCUGAAAGUGAGAGAAAAAAAUCCAGAUAUUCUUUCCAUUGCAGGUUUGUCUUAAUGUAUUUCCCAAAACAGGGAUGUAGAAGAAGACUGAAAAACCUUUGAUCCGCAGUGCCUUCUAGUACAGCUUUCAGCACAACUACUUUGAAAUAUUUCACAAACAUAGAAACAACCAGCUUCAGGGUUUUAUGGGGAGCUGAAAAUGGGGAAUCUAUUACAGUAAUGAAUUUCUCCCUCUAAAAUAUGUCACUUGUCUUUGAGUGGGGAACUGAAGAAUCCUUUGGCACCUAAAAUACUCUCUUACGAACCCUAAGAUUGAGAUGAUAAUGCAUACCCUUGCUGUGAAGUCUACAACAGCUCCUCGGUUGAGUAGAAGUGUCGCUACAUUAACGUUUCCAUAGUGUGCUGCUAUGUGCAAAGGUGUGAAGCCACUCUGCAAAAAUAAAAGAGUCCUAAUCAGAAA